GAGACAUGCAGAUGCUUAUCCCUUCACUCUCUCCCCACCACUCCCCAUUCCAUGGUGGCCUCCGCCUGUUCUCCCCGCUGCCUGCUCUCCUCCGCAUGCCGCGCCGUCGCACGACGCCUCCUCCCUGUUGCCACGAUGUCGCCCAGCGCCUCCUCCUCCACCCCUCUGCCUCGCCCCGCCGCCUCCUCGCCGCACGACGGCCUCGCCUCGCCGGCAACCCCGCCGGUCUUACCAAGAUAAACUCUGCCGCUGCCAUCCCCAUGUCCCAGCGCAGAUCUAGACGGGAGCUAGAGGGGCAUGCUGGACACGAUGCGGGAGCGGGCAUAUCAUAGCGGACCGAGAUCCAGUGCGUCUACGUGCCCGCCGUCAUCGUUGCCCCCCGUGCUUGGCUCCCACACUCGCUCCAGGUAGGUGCUCGCAGCUCACCUACUGCUCGGCUGCUCCAGUUAAAGCACAACGUGAGGCUGCAACAGAAGCUUGAGGAAUGCAGGGGCUAAUAAUAGUACUCAUCAACCAAAAAUACCGGCGUCGUCAACCAUGCUUUGAACUUUUGGAGAUCAAGCUGUACGGUUGUACCAUGAAGAUUUUUGAUGCAGUUUAAGGAUUCAAGUGGCGAUUGCAACCCAAAACAUUGCAAAGAAUCUGCUACCAGAGGCUUCAUUAUGCACACCUUUUCUUUUUACAAAAUGGAGUCUGAUCUGCUGUCAUCACAUCACCAGGUUUGAUUCCUUUUGUGACACAUUAAGUGGCCUCACAGGUGAAAGGAGGGGCGGCCACCCACUCGACGGUGCGGUGCAGGGUGGCAAGGGAGCCGGCAGGGAGGCGUCAACGCGGUGCAUGGCCGUGAGGGAACCGUCUAGGGAGGCGACGAUGCGAUGCAGGGAUCGAGGCCGCCGUGCAGGGAGGCGACGGGGCUGCUGAGCUUCGUCUGGGGCGGUGGCGAGGAAAGGCAGGGAGAGGGGCGAGGGAGACGAUUAGGUUUAGUUUCCUUUUAUUCAAAUUGAUUAGAUGGUUAGAUUAGCGUGAUUUGAGGGCCUGCGGAGGUGGGAUGGAGAGUUUCAUGUUUUCAUCUGGUGGAGUAUGGUCAGUCCAUGUAAACUGCUAAGCGCACACCAGAUCUCGAAUAAAUUAAUAAUGGCUGUUAGAUUGGGUCGU